rnacentral:tRNA from 1 species
GCUGGAGUGGCGGAAUUGGCAUACGCGUGCGACUCAAAAUCGCAUGGACUUCGGUUCGUGAGGGUUCAACUCCCUCCUCCAGCACCA